rnacentral:lncRNA from 1 species
GGGGGUGUGUGGAAACUUGUAGCGCGGCUGGUUUGGAGACUUGGCAUCUAAAUCUGUUCCAGCCAGUCCCGAGGGGCACGGAGUGCGACUAAAGGAAGGGAGAAAGAAAAGAGAGAUAGCGAGGUUCAAAAAGCUGAACCACGCUUCCCAGAAUGCUCAGGUCAAACCCCAGUGAGAAGAUGCCACGAAGAAGGAAACAGCCAACUCAGGAGUCCUGGGAUAUCUGAAAUCGAUAAGAAGGAUAGAGAUCCCUUUGCCCGGUGUCUUUGGCUCCCUUUCUCUUCACCUGAAAACCCUUGGCAGAAGACCCAGAAGAGGCUAGUGCCCAGAUGUGCUGAUGAGCCUCUCCAAGGACGAGAAAGGGCUUCCUGUAGAGGCAGACCAGGCUGUUGGCCUUCUAGGAUGCUGCAGGUGGACUCAGGGUGGCUCUCAGCAGCCUUGGGUGUGCAGACUGCGGGCCAGAUGAGACCUCUUCAGAACAGAACAAACAAAGAAACUGAAGUCACCCCGUGCUACCCAGGUGAAUUCCAGGUCUUUAAAAAGCCCUGGUCUUUCAUGGAAAUACAUCAUUCUAUUAAAGGAAUCUAGAAAAAAUUAAAAAUCUCUCUAUAUAGAAUACCAUUUAAUAAAAAGUACGAGAGCACAGAAAAUAAUGAGUGGUGAGAGUACCAGAUUGUCCAAAG